rnacentral:rRNA from 1 species
GAUGAACGCUGGCGGCGUGCCUAAUACAUGCAAGCCGAGCGAACGGACGAGAAGCUUGCUUCUCUGAUGUUAGCGGCGGACGGGUGAGUAACACGUGGAUAACCUACCUAUAAGACUGGGAUAACUUCGGGAAACCGGAGCUAAUACCGGAUGAUAUUUUGAACCGCAUGGUUCAAAACUGAAAGACGGUCUUGCUGUCACUUAUAGAUGGAUCCGCGCUGCAUUAGCUAGUUGGUAAGGUAACGGCUUACCAAGGCAACGAUGCAUAGCCGACCUGAGAGGGUGAUCGGCCACACUGGAACUGAGACACGGUCCAGACUCCUACGGGAGGCAGCAGUAGGGAAUCUUCCGCAAUGGGCGAAAGCCUGACGGAGCAACGCUGCGUGAGUGAUGAAGGUCUUCGGAUCGUAAAACUCUGUUAUUAGGGAAGAACAUAUGUGUAAGUAACUGUGCACAUCUUGACGGUACCUAAUCAGAAAGCCACGGCUAACUACGUG